GAGUAAGGAAGUUUACUCGGACAAAAUUAAGAAAAAUAUUUUGAAUUUUAAGUAAAGAAGGAAAAAAGUCUAGAGUUAUAGUUUAUAGUACUGUGAAGGAAGAUUGAAAUAGGGCUAAAAUAAAAUAACGGAAAAGUAAAAAUAUAAUUUUGUACCUUGUGUAUUAGGGGCGUUUUAUAUAAAAUAAAUAUUUUAAGUCUCCCGAAAGAAAGAGAGCUAGGAUAUAAAAAAGGUUUUUGUUGCAAUAAAUUCUGUAAUUUUAUUUUAGUAGUGAAAUAUUAGUCGAGUUUUCUUAUAUCUGGUUCUUUCAAAAAUAAAUUGAAUUUAGCUCCAUUUACUGGGGAGUGAAGGAAGUUGGGACAGGAGGGUAGAGCUUCUUGUUUAAUAUUUUACCUACGGGGAUAGAAAGGGCUUCUAAUUGAACUGGGCUUAGAAAUAGCCGUGUUAAUAAAAUGUUAUAGUUAAAGUUUUUAAGUUAAAAAAUUUUUUAUUCCUUAAGAAUAAUAUGAGGGAUUGUUUAGUAUUUACCAAUAAAUAUUUAUAAUGAAUGUAUUAGUAUAUAAUGAUGGGCAACCUUAUUGUAAAAUACAAAAAAAUUGUAUAAAAUAGGAGUCUUAAUCAAAGGAACUCGGCAAAAAUUACUUCCGCCUGUUUAACAAAAACAUGUCUGUAUGAAAGUUUUAUAGAGUCUGGCCUGCCCGCUGAUAAUUGAAGGGCCGCGGUAUAGUGACCGUGCAAAGGUAGCAUAAUCAUUAGUCUUUUAAUUGAAGGCUUGUAUGAAUGGUCGAACGAGGGGUAGACUGUCUCUGCUAAGAAAUUUGAAUUUAACUUUUAAGUGAAAGGGCUUAAAUAGUCUAAAGGGACGAUAAGACCCUAUAAAGCUUCACAUUAAGUCUUUAAAAUUUUAAUUAAGUAAUAAAAUUUUAUUAAAUGCAAUAUGUUUUGUUGGGGCGACAGGAGUAUAAGAAAUUUAACUGCUCUAAAUAAUAAGUCAAAGAUACUUGAUCUUUGGGGACUUUUUAUUAAAGUGUUAGAUUAAGUUACUUUAGGGAUAACAGCGUAAUUUUUUUCAAGAGUUCUUAUCGACAAAAAAAUUUGCGACCUCGAUGUUGAAUUAAAGAUUCUCUAUGGUGCAGAAAUUAUAGGAGAGAGUCUGUUCGACUCUUAAUUCUUUACAUGAUUUGAGUUCAAACCGGUGUGAACCAGGUUGGUUUCUAUCUUUUAGAAUAGAGUAAAAUUACCUUAGUACGAAAGGAUUAGGUUGUUGAAAUAAUUUUAUUAGCCUGUAUUAGCAAAUAUGCGUUGAGAUAAUUCAACUUUCGGAUUACAGGCU
rnacentral:rRNA from 1 species